CCCUUAGACGUUCUGGGCCGCACGCGCGCUACACUGACCAGUGCAACAAGCAUCCGUCCUUGGCCGACAGGCCCGGGCAAUCUUUGAACGCUGGUCGUGAUGGGGAUAGAAUUUUGCAAUUUUUGGUCUUCAACGAGGAAUUCCUAGUAAACGCAAGUCAUCAACUUGCAUUGAUUACGUCCCUGCCCUUUGUACACACCGCCCGUCGCACCUACCGAUUGAAUGGUCCGGUGAAGCCUCCGGAUUGGCGCGCACCUCGGUGCCGCCGAGAAGUUGGCUAAACCUUACCAUUUAGAGGAAGGUGAAGUCGUAACA
rnacentral:rRNA from 1 species